ACGCUCGACACCUACGGGGGCAGCAGUGGGGAAUAUUGCACAAUGGGGGAAACCCUGAUGCAGCGACGCCGCGUGAGCGAAGAAGUAUCUCGGUAUGUAAAGCUCUAUCAGCAGGGAAGAAGAUGACGGUACCUGACUAAGAAGCACCGGCUAAAUACGUGCCGGCAGCCGCGGUAAUCUGAGCGGGCUGGCAAGGC
rnacentral:rRNA from 1 species